GUGGGGAAUCUUGCGCAAUGGGCGAAAGCCUGACGCAGCCAUGCCGCGUGAAUGAUGAAGGUCUUAGGAUUGUAAAAUUCUUUCACCGGGGACGAUAAUGACGGUACCCGGAGAAGAAGCUCCGGCUAACUUCGUGCCAGCAGCCGCGGUAAUACGAAGGGGGCUAGCGUUGCUCAGAAUUACUGGGCGUAAAGGGCGCGUAGGCGGACAGCUUAGUCAGAGGUGAAAGCCCAGGGCUCAACCUUGGAAUUGCCUUUGAUACUGGCUGUCUUGAGUUUGGGAGAGGUGAGUGGAACUCCGAGUGUAGAGGUGAAAUUCGUAGAUAUUCGGAAGAACACCAGUGGCGAAGGCGACUCACUGGCCCAAUACUGACGCUGAGGCGCGAAAGCGUGGGGAGCAAACAGGAUUAGAAACCCUGGUAGUCC
rnacentral:rRNA from 1 species